AAGGUGUUAGCUCAAUUGGAAGAGCGUUCCCCCACCAAGGGGAAAGGAUGCGGGUUCGAGUCCCUGUGCACCUUU
rnacentral:tRNA from 1 species